rnacentral:lncRNA from 10 species
UCUUUUAUUUACCACAUUCAUACAUGCUCAUUUUUAAAAGUCAAUCCAGAAAUGUCCAUGCUAAAUAAACAAAAGACGCUGCCCUGCCCCUUCCUCAACCAAUUUCAUUCCCCUCCCUCACAAAAAAUUACUGCGGGCAGCUUGGCAUGCCCUGUGUAAACACACACCCACACGCACAGACACCAUGUAUGUGUCUGUGCCAUUGUCAUGUGUUUUGAGCUGUUUCCCAGCACUCUGUGUGGUGACCUAAUGAGGCUCUCCAUCCUCGUCGGCGCACAUGGAACCCCCUCGUUCUCACUGAACAGCCUCAGGCUCCUUCACACGCUGCGUCUUCUUUACAGCCUGCCAGUUAAACCCAAUGUUUUUACCUUGGAAAAUGUCACGGGCUGUUCUCCAGAAGCAGCAGUGAGCUGGUUCAUUGACGUUUGGUGACUUGUUCAGUUGUGCUCCUCACAUUCCAUUACUGCCACACCUACAGACACGUUGGUGUUUCACAAAAAGGCAAAUUCCAAAAGGCGACUGGGAGGAGCUUGCUAGCCGAGGCUCUUCUGCAGAGUGUUUUUUGGUCUUAAUGCUUCUGAAAUGCAUUUUAAAAUAAGCCAAACUGGUCAUGUGGCACCUGUGAUAUUAUCUAGAAAAGUGUGACUUGAGGGAAUUUCUCCAGAAUCAAAGAUGUCUGAACGUGUCUGCAUGAACAGAACCCAGGACGCUCCUUACUAAGCAGGCUCUGCAGAACAAACGCAAGCCAGGAGGAAAAGAGGAAAACGUAGAUUAGGGAGUUGAGAACAUGCAGCAAAUAUCCUCGAAACUGUGAAUGGACAGCGCCCUGGAUCAUAAGGAGUAGAGACACCACUGACCACUCUCACUGCGCCAUGGUCACGUCUUUCAGGAAAGGGUGGUGUGACCACGAACUGCACGUCUGCUACAGGGCAGGGCUGUGGGCUUCAGGGCAUGACUGUAAACAAAUUUCAAAAAUUUUAGACACAUUUCGAAAAAUGUGAAGCCCUAAUGUCCAUCCACUUCUGGAUAUCAUUUCACAUCUAUCGUAUCUUUCCUACUUUUGAAGACUACUGCAGUUGAAAUCUUGUAAAUUCUACCAGAGGAGAACCCUGGGAUGGCCUUUCGUGAUAUGAAGAUUAAGCAGCCAUAUUUUACUCAUCCCAAUCGCAGAGCUGUUUUUAUUAUACAUUUAUGCAUCCUUUUGUAACAUACAUUUUGGGAGUUAUCCAAUGGCCAUCCAUUUUGUGAACCAGUUUGGCCCAGCUUGUGUCAAGUAGUUAGAAGCUGAGAAAGAAUGAAAGUGCACAAUUAGUCACAAAUUCUCCUCCAAUAUGUGAAUAAGAAAUUAAGCACCAUUUGCUGAUGGAUCAUCAAUAAGUAUUACAGAAAACGUAGGUGUUGAGAAGCCACAUGGCUCAUUUGACAUCACACAGCGGAGGGAAGACAGGACUGGAAACCACAACCUGAUGUCUGGAUGUUACUUUUGUGGCAGCUGUAAUUGUGAUUAUCGUUACUUCUUUGUCCCUGGUACUACAUAUUUCAUUUUAUAACACAUAAAAGUAAUUUUAUAGAAAUGUCUUGGAAGCGUUCCAAAUGCAGUCCAAACACAGGGGAGAGGGUGACUUAAGUUCAAGAUAAAAGCCACUAAGACCUUCCCCAUAGCCUUGCUACCAAGAGAGCUGGCCCUUCAUGGCCAAGUAUUCCCAUCCGGCUCGCUAAGCACAUGCCUCGUCCCUCCCUUCCCAGCCUCUCAUCCACACAUCUGGAAAGCCUGUUCUCCCAAGUGAACUUGGUCUGGCUCAGGAAUCUUGACAUUCCACUCAAAUGAAAGAGCGUAUUGUUGAAAACUAGCUGCAGAGAGACACAUAGACAGACAGGGAUACAAACAGUGUCAUCGCGUGAUAUUUCACAUCUAAGAAUGGAGCUCAGCAGCAACACACCAGACUGGCGGGGGUGGGGGUUUGGGGGGUGGGACGUGGUGAGAAAUGCAGUCCUUUCAAAUUACUCCUUGACAUUCUAGAAGGUCUAUCCCAACACACAACUGAUGUUUUGAUUGAUGAGCACCCUGGGGCCUUUGCCCCCUUGGAGGCCUUGAGCUCAGCCUCCAGAGAGGAUAUGAAGAUGCCACUUUAGGUGCACCCCUGGCUCCUGAAGCUCACAGUCCUGGCCGAGACGCCCAGUUUCCUUCUUCUUUUCUCAAUUUUUUAUUUCAUAAUAGGAUUCCUGGCCAGGUACAGAGUCUCACGCCUGUAAUCCCAGCACCUUGUGAGGUCAAGGCAGGAGGAUUGCUUGAGCUCAGGAGUUCAAGACCAUCCUGGGCAAUAUAGUGAGACCCUGUCUCUACAAAAACAAAAUUAAAAGAAAAAAUUAGCCAAGUGUGGUGGUACAUGCCUGUGGUUCCAGCUACUUGAGAGGCUAAGGUGGGAGGAUCUCUUGAGCCCAGGAGUUCAAGGCUGUGGUGAGCCCUGAUCACACUGCACUCCAGCCUGCACAACAGAGCAAGGCCUUGCCUCCAAAAAUAUAUAUAAUAAUAAAAUAACAAAAAAAAUGCCAGAGAAUGGCACGCACAGAUUGCCUUCAGCAUUGAGUGUUCACGUCCCGGAAUUCACUGAAACAUGGGAACCUAGGAGUGACCUGAGGAGCCCAGCCUUUCCAAAAUGGAAAUGCAGCUGGCGACAUGAAGAACAGAAACACCAACUGCAUGGGGCCUGGAAAGGCAUCUCCCCUUUACUCCACCAUCAUCACAGCUUUCCCGAGGAGAGAGGGAAUGGUUGAGGCCAUUUGACUAUUGUUUUUCACCAGGACCACCUCCCACCCGAUGGAGGCCACAGGCUCAGCUGACGUCCUAACUAUUGACGGUCAUCUUUGACACACACAUCAUAUGUGGUGGGUCAGCUGUGGAAGUAGGGGUGGAAGUAGGGAUUUCUUGUAAGACAUGCCCUGGCAGCUCCCAAAGAAACAAAGGGCAAAUGCUGCUUUCUCCGGAGUUGUGGAGAAGCAUCUUCAAGCCUGUAGCCCUCUCCUGAAGCCAGAUGAAGGACAGGUGUUCCAACCGCAUGUUUUUAUGACGCUGAGUUUGGAUCUGUUUUUCUCCAGACUCACACUGAAACCCUUCCUCCAAGGGCUCUCAGCCCAACAAGAUACUGGAAAAGAGGUUUGAACCCAGCUCCUCUAGUUCCCUAUUGGCCUAACUGUUUAGUCAGAGCUGCCAGCACCAUCGUUUCUGGAAGGAGCUCCUGGUGGUGAGGCUGUGCUAGAACCUGGAGAGAAGGGGCCCUUUGCCUCACCAGCAACACAGCUUGAAUCCCAGCAGAUGAAGGAGAUCCAUGCAGUCAUCACCGGGUGUUCUCUGCAGCCUCGGUGACCCUCAGGGGAGCUUCCCGGAAAGGCAGGCGCUGCCCUGGAGCCUCUUUAGCAGGAGCUGAGCACGUCAAGUCUCAAGUGUGAGCUUUAAGUUUGGCCUGAGCUAUUCAGCUGUAGCCACUUAAACAGAGAAAAACCUGACAACUCGUCACUAAGGCAAUAAGUCAAAAAGCAACUUUUGUAAAAACCUAGUGACAUAAAUGCUCUACAGGGCAAAUCAGAUACUGCGGCAAAUACAGAAGUAAGGCCCACAGCUACUGCCCAGAGCAAGCUCUCCUACACCUGCUAAGCCCCCUCACCCAACCCUCUGAGGCGGGGCCAAAACCUGUGGCCAGACCCAGGAAUUCUGGUCGUUCCUUGAUGGAGGCCAGAGACCUGGCCAAGGUCGUUAGAGUAGACUCCGUGGAAGCACAGAGUAGAAUCUAAAAGCAACUUAGAUUUGGAUCUUCGGGAACAAGUAAGUGCACCUCAGAUCUGGACAUAAGCCCUUUCUGGUAGCACUGUUUUCUAGAAAGAAGACUGUACUAAAGUUCUGGAUAACUCUCUCCCUGCCCCCAGUGACGUCUCAGAGCAGCCUCAUGGACUGACUUGACCAGGCUCCCAGGCCCCCUGCCUCCAGCCCAGCUGUCCUUCCCUCUGUCCCCAGGGCUCAGUGUCUCUCUUUCUCUCUCUCCUUCUUUCUCUCUCUCCAACUGUUGUUUCCUGCUCUUCUACUUUCUCCAUCUUCCUCCCUCUCAUCUUUCCUUCUCUCUUAUCUCUCUCUUCCUUUCACUCUCUAUCUUUUUGGCUCUCUCCUGCCUAUCCUCCCUUCCCUCUCCUCCUCUCUAUCUCUUCAUCUCUCUCUCCUCUCCCGUCUCUGUCCGUGUGUGUGUGUCUCUCUCUCCCCAACUCACGUUUCU